rnacentral:lncRNA from 1 species
CCCGUGUGCAGAGCGGACAAGGCAAAAUCUCAGCAAGUUCGGACCUCUAGUACAAUAAGGCGAACCUCCUCUUUGGAUACAAUAACAGGACCUUACCUCACGGGACAGUGGCCACGGGAUCCUCAUGUUCACUACCCUUCAUGCAUGAAAGACAAAGCUACUCAGACACCUAGCUGUUGGGCAGAAGAGGGUGCAGAAAAGAGGUCACAUCAGCGUUCUGCGUCAUGGGGGAGUGCUGAUCAACUAAAAGAGCAGAUCGCCAAACUGAGGCAGCAACUACAACGCAGUAAACAGAGUAGUCGUCACAGUAAGGAGAAAGAUCGCCAGUCACCUCUUCAUGGCAACCAUAUAACAAUCAGUCACACUCAGGCUACUGGAUCAAGGUCAGUUCCUAUGCCACUGUCAAAUAUAUCAGUGCCAAAAUCAUCUGUUUCACGUGUGCCCUGCAAUGUAGAAGGAAUAAGUCCUGAAUUAGAAAAGGUAUUCAUUAAAGAAAAUAAUGGGAAGGAAGAAGUAUCCAAGCCGUUGGACAUACCAGAUGGUCGAAGAGCUCCACUUCCUGCUCAUUACCGGAGCAGUAGUACUCGCAGCAUUGACACUCAGACUCCUUCUGUCCAGGAGCGCAGCAGUAGCUGCAGCAGUCAUUCACCCUGUGUCUCCCCUUUUUGUCCCCCGGAAUCCCAGGAUGGUAGCCCUUGCUCAACAGAAGAUUUGCUCUAUGAUCGUGAUAAAGGUCUCGUCAGCCUAUCUCGGCCCCUCUCUUUUCAUGUCCUGACAAAAACAAGGUUAAUUUCAUCCCAACCGGAUCAGCUUUCUGUCCUGUAAAACUUCUAGGCCCCCUCUUACCUGCUUCUGACCUUAUGCUCAAGAACUCUCCUAACUCUGGCCAGAGCUCAGCUUUGGCAACUCUGACCGUUGAGCAGCUCUCAUCCCGGGUUUCCUUUACGUCUCUUUCUGAUGACACCAGCACAGCGGGCUCCAUGGAGGCCUCUGUCCAGCAGCCAUCCCAGCAGCAGCAGCUCCUGCAGGAACUGCAGGGUGAGGACCACAUCUCUGCUCAGAACUAUGUGAUCAUCUAAAAAAGGGGGAGCUGGCCUCCACCCUAUGUUCCAUGGAUUCGGAACAAGAUUUCAGACAUCUGCAUGAGUGACAAACUUUCUGAACGCCACCACCACCAGUAAUACUUAUCAGCAUCAUAAAGUAUCUCUUAAACACUGAUCUUGGCAGGGACGGAACUCCUAUUCAGCAGUUUUUGUGGAAAGCAGUAAUGCUUGCAAAACGUGUGUGUCAUUCAGCAUUUUAAGUGGAGACUAUGCAUUUCAUAGUAUAUUUGACAGAUUAGUACUGUGUCCUGUGUUUUGUUCCAGAUUCUUCAGUAUAAAUAAGCUCUAUAUCAAAAAGUUGCCUGUCUAAAUAGAAAAUGUCUUGCUGUGUUUUGUCCUAUGGAAAAUACUGUAAUUCAGGAUUAUGUUUACAAUUGAUCCAGGUGUUUGUUUCUAACUUCUGUAAUACAUACAAUGCAAAAAAAAAAAAAAAAAAAUGGCCACAACAGUUGCACAGUGCCCACCCUAUGGCCUAGCUUCAGGUACUUCAGUUGAAGUCUAAACUCAGGUAACUUGGAAUGUAUAUCAUAUUGGGAUAUUAACUAUUUCACAGCUAAAAAGCUAAAGAGGGAACAUCACUCUUUUGCCUUUCCUUAUUUUAUGCAUUUCCCUUUCCUCAUUACAUUCCACAUUCUUAGAAUAAGAAGUGCAUUCAAUCCUAGGAGAAUGAUAAUCCUGGACAUGGGUGAACAUGAGGAGAACCAGCAAAAUCUGUGGUGUUUGACAUCACUUUGUCAUGUGGUUACAAGUAAAACAACUGUUGCAUUCACUGUUUCAACAUGUGUACAUGUGGCUUUUUUAAAAGUUCAGGUGUUGCUCAGUAAAGGACUGUGACAAUGUUGCAAAUAAAGUGUUCAGUACUGGACUGUACAUAAACAUUCCACAUUGUGUGUGAUGAAAUUUAAAGACAAGAAUGUCUAGAGUUAAUUUCAAAAUAAGUGAAGUGUUUGACGGAAUGGUUGAGAUUUUUUUGUUUAUGUUAGCCAUCAGGGUCAUAACUGUUACCAUUUUAUCUAAAGACAGAUUUAUAUUUAGUUUCUCCCUUGGAAAUUCUUUAUUUUGCAGGUGAAAAAGUGACAUACUUUUUGUUAUUGUCUUCCUCAAGCAGUUUAGGUGCAUGAUCUUCAUUUACAUAGAAUACUUGGGUCUCAGAAUUGAUGCAACAUAAGCAGGUUUUUUGGUGACUUACAAGAGCUAUAGUUUGAAGCUAUCUCAUUUAAGCCUCUCAUAAUACAUAAUCAUGAGUAGUUUUGAAAUUUGCAACCUGUGAGGUAGAGCAUAAACUCAAGAAAAUAGCCUUGAACUUGCAGACUUUUGACACAAGUUCUCCACAAAGUGUGAAGAGAGCCCUAGGCAUUCCUGAUUGGUCAAUGGGAGAGCCUAACUUUCAUUGUUUUUUGGAUACAAAGAGUAUCCAAAAGCGAAGUUUUUGUAUUCCACUACUUUCAGUUCAGUAAAACCUAGAGUUGUUUCAUCUGCGCCUAAAGUGUAUGGCACAAUUUUCUUA